rnacentral:tRNA from 6 species
GGACAGGUGGGAGAGCGGUUAAAUCCAACAGACUGUAAAUCUGUCGUCCAUCGGGCUACGGUGGUUCGAAUCCACCCCUGUCCA